UAUUAGGAGAUUGUGCUUCUGGCUGGCAGA
rnacentral:piRNA from 2 species